rnacentral:sRNA from 1 species
CUGACUACCUAUUUAGUAAAAUUCAUUUUAUUCACAUUCCACUAAAAUAGAAUGUCUUUCCUUUCUGAGAAACUGAUAAUUUAUUUUUCCCCUAUGAAGCAGAGAGUUGCUGUAUAAAAGUUGAUACCAGGGAUCCACCACUGUUAUUAGAUCUAAGAUUUGGACUACCUACUUUACUCACAGAGCACCUUAUGAAAUGAGUGUAACCCAAAAAUGUGAACACAUUGUCACAAUGUGCAUUAGGAAUCUGAAAGGGAGUUCAAUAUGGAUCUGGAAAAGAAGACAUGAAAUUAUAUUUCUUUUCCAGCUCACAGCCUUUUCUUCCAAGUGUAAGUAACAGUACAUAUAUACAUAUAUUUUUUUCUAGUUCCUUCCUCAUGUUUCAUACCUAGACCUAAAUGUCACACGAUCAAAACUCAUUCUGUUUGUUUGUUUUGUUUUUACCAGCCCUGUAUCUUUUACUGUAUCUCAUGUGGCAUUUAGUUUUACUGAAAUAAGGUCCUGGAAAAUGACCUACACUAGGGAAUAUUUGGACUCCUGUAGCUGGUAGUCUUGCAGUGAAGAAAAGCUACUUUGGAAUGGCUAGAGACUAGUGCCUUUCCUCAACCUGAGGUUCUAUGUGACAUGGGGUAUUAGUAAAUUCAUUUGACAUGAGCGCCAUGUUCAGAGACUGAAAUCAAGUAGGGAUAGAUGAUGUCAAGUAACCUCAGGUAAACAUGUGACGGAAAGAGCCAAGAAGUCAGUUACACGCAUUCUUUGUGAACCUAUAAUCCUGCACUUGGCUUGCAAUAACCUCUCAAUGAAAGAAUGCAUGUGAUCAAGCAAGUUCCCUAGGUUCUUCAUAAGCCCAAGCUUUCCUUAAGCAUGGAAAGAGCACAGCCAAGGCUGGAAUGACAGCACAGUAAAGAAAGUAGUUAGACAUGCAUAAGGACAUGAGUUUGACCCUCAUAGUCCAUUUGAAAAGCUGGGCAUAAUAACAUAUGUUUAUUGUCCUAGCACUGGCUAAGCAAAGCACAUAUAACCACCUAUCCUAGCCUAACCACUGAGAGCUAAUCAAUGAACCCUGUUAACUAUGGUCUUGACAAACAUGCGCACAUAUAUUCACACUCAUACAAAUACAUAU